AGCUUUGUGCAGUGGCAGUAUUGUAGCCAAUAAGGCUUAUCUGAGGUGCGAUUAUUGUUAACUGAAAACUUUCCUCAAUACCCCGCAUGAUGUCUUAAAAUAUAGUUGCCAUUGGCAGUUUUUGACAAGCUCUUUGGAGA